ACGCUCGACACCUACGGGAGACAGCAGUGGGGAAUAUUGCACAAUGGGGGGAAACCCUGAUGCAGCGACGCCGCGUGAGUGAAGAAAGUAUUUUCGGUAUGUAAAAGCUCUAUCAGCAGGGAAGAAGAUGACGGUACCUGAGUAAAGAAGCCCCGGCUAACUACGUGCCAGCAGCCGCGGUAAUCUGAGCGGGCUGGCAAGGC
rnacentral:rRNA from 1 species